rnacentral:rRNA from 1 species
CCUACGGGAGGCAGCAGUGGGGAAUAUUGCACAAUGGGGGAAACCCUGAUGCAGCGACGCCGCGUGAGUGAAGAAGUAAUUCGUUAUGUAAAGCUCUAUCAGCAGGGAAGAAAAUGACGGUACCUGAGUAAGAAGCCCCGGCUAACUACGUGCCAGCAGCCGCGGUAAUACGUAGGGGGCAAGCGUUAGCCGGAUUUACUGGGUGUAAAGGGAGCGUAGACGGCAGUGCAAGUCUGGAGGGAAAGGCGGGGGCUCAACCCCCGGACUGCCCUGGAAACUGUACGGCUUGAGUGCAGGAGAGGUAAGUGGAAUUCCUAGUGUAGCGGUGAAAUGCGUAGAUAUUAGGAGGAACACCAGUGGCGAAGGCGGCUUACUGGACUGUAACUGACGUUGAGGCUCGAAAGCGUGGGGAGCAAACAGGAUUAGAUACCCGGGUAGUC